CCCAACUGUUACAACAACACAGCAAAUUUUGGCACAUCAGUUUGGCAAACCUACAAAUCAGUUAUUGUAUAACUUCCCUGGGAGUCUUUGUAGAUACUGCCAAAUUUUUGAAUGACAGACAAACAGAGGGUGUGUGUGUGCGUGCUUCAGUGGGGUGUUACUCACAGUUUUAUUUGCCCAUUCUGCGAAUUGCAUCCCGACACAUGGUAGGUGUACAAGAGAGGACAGCGUAUCUGAACCAUUGCAGCUUGCCUGAGUACAUUAAUAAAGCUUCAGCGUUGCACCAAAAGUCAAUGGCUCUGGCCCGGACAUCAGGUAGACGGCAGGAAAUCACUCCUAUCAGCAGCAAGAGUCCUAGAGGAGCAUACAGGGGGGGUGACUGACGAGCUGCCAUCUGGCUCCUCUUUGCUGCAGUACCAGCAGCAGGUCGCUGGGGGAGCUGGAGCCUAUCCCAGCUGACUAUGGACAAGAGGUGAGGUACAC